UAAAUGUAAGACGGAUGAGUUCUAAAAGGGAAAGGCGAUGAAGCAGAUGUAAUUAACUUUCUUUGUGAAAGCUUUGGGGAAAUUCUUUUCUCUCUCUCUCCAAGUGUGAGGUUGGAUAAAAUCCUUGAUUCAUAAAGUGGAACUG